rnacentral:rRNA from 2 species
GGUUAAGCGACUAAGCGUACACGGUGGAUGCCCUGGCAGUCAGAGGCGAUGAAGGACGUGCUAAUCUGCGAAAAGCGUCGGUAAGGUGAUAUGAACCGUUAUAACCGGCGAUGUCCGAAUGGGGAAACCCAGUGCAAUUCGUUGCACUAUCGUUAACUGAAUACAUAGGUUAACGAGGCGAACCGGGGGAACUGAAACAUCUAAGUACCCCGAGGAAAAGAAAUCAACCGAGAUUCCCCCAGUAGCGGCGAGCGAACGGGGAGCAGCCCAGAGUCUGAAUCAGCUUGUGUGUUAGUGGAACGGUCUGGAAAGUCCGACGGUACAGGGUGAUAGUCCCGUACACCAAAAUGCACAGGCUGUGAACUCGAAGAGUAGGGCGGGACACGUGGUAUCCUGUCUGAAUAUGGGGGGACCAUCCUCCAAGGCUAAAUACU